rnacentral:rRNA from 1 species
AGUGAACGCUGGCGGUAGGCCUAACACAUGCAAGUCGAACGGCAGCACAGUAAGAGCUUGCUCUUACGGGUGGCGAGUGGCGGACGGGUGAGGAAUACAUCAGAAUCUACUUUUUCGUGGGGGAUAACGUAGGGAAACUUACGCUAAUACCGCAUACGACCUACGGGUGAAAGCAGGGGAUCUUCGGACCUUGCGCGAUUGAAUGAGCCGAUGUCGGAUUAGCUAGUUGGCGGGGUAAAGGCCCACCAAGGCGACGAUCCGUAGCUGGUCUGAGAGGAUGAUCGGCCACACUGGAACUGAGACACGGUCCAGACUCCUACGGGAGGCAGCAGUGGGGAAUAUUGGACAAUGGGCGCAAGCCUGAUCCAGCCAUACCGCGUGGGUGAAGAAGGCCUUCGGGUUGUAAAGCCCUUUUGUUGGGAAAGAAAAGCAGCAGGUUAAUACCCCGCUGUUCUGACGGUACCCAAAGAAUAAGCACCGGCUAACUUCGUG